UACGUAGGGUGCAAGCGUUGUCCGGAAUUAUUGGGCGUAAAGAGCUCGUAGGCGGUUUGUCGCGUCUGCUGUGAAAACUGGAGGCUCAACCUCCAGCCUGCAGUGGGUACGGGCAGACUAGAGUGCGGUAGGGGAGAUUGGAAUUCCUGGUGUAGCGGUGGAAUGCGCAGAUAUCAGGAGGAACACCGAUGGCGAAGGCAGAUCUCUGGGCCGUAACUGACGCUGAGGAGACGAAAGCAUGGGGGAGCGAACAGG
rnacentral:rRNA from 1 species